AUGACUUGUGGCUGGGGGUGAAAGGCCAAUCAAACCGGGAGAUAGCUGGUUCUCCCCGAAAGCUAUUUAGGUAGCGCCUCGUGAACUCAUCUUCGGGGGUAGAGCACUGUUUCGGCUAGGGGGGCAUCCCGACUUACCAACCCGAUGCAAACUACGAAUACCGAAGAAUGUUAUCACGGGAGACACACGGCGGGGGCUAACGUCCGUCGUGAAGAGGGAAACAACCCAGACCGCCAGCUAAGGUCCCAAAGUCAUGGUUAAGUGGGAAACGAUGUGGGAAGGCACAGACAGCCAGGAUGUUGGCUUAGAAGCAGCCAUCAUUUAAAGAAAGCGUAAUAGCUCACUGGUCGAGUCGGCCUGCGCGGAAGAUGUAACGGGGCUAAACCAUGCACCGAAGCUGCGGCAGCGACACUAUGUGUUGUUGGGUAGGGGAGCGUUCUGUAAGCCUGCGAAGGUGUGCUGUGAGGCAUGCUGGAGGUAUCAGAAGUGCGAAUGCUGACAUAAGUAACGAUAAAGCGGGUGAAAAGCCCGCUCGCCGGAAGACCAAGGGUUCCUGUCCAACGUUAAUCGGGGCAGGGUGAGUCGACCCCUAAGGCGAGGCCGAAAGGCGUAGUC
rnacentral:rRNA from 1 species